rnacentral:rRNA from 1 species
GCAGGCCCUAACAAUUGCAAGUUCGAGCGGUAGCACAGAGAGCUUGCUCUCGGGUGACGAGCGGCGGACGGGUGAGUAAUGUCUGGGAAACUGCCUGAUGGAGGGGGAUAACUACUGGAAACGGUAGCUAAUACCGCAUAACGUCGCAAGACCAAAGUGGGGGACCUUCGGGCCUCAUGCCAUCAGAUGUGCCCAUAUGGGAUUAGCUAGUAGGUGGGGUAACGGCUCACCUACGCGACGAUCCCUAGCUGGUCUGAGAGGAUGACCAGCCACACUGGAACUGAGACACGGUCCAUACUCCUACGGGAGGCAGCAGUGGGGAAU